rnacentral:rRNA from 1 species
GGGAGGCAGCAGUGGGGAAUCUUGCGCAAUGGGGGAAACCUUGACGCAGCAACGCCGCGUGGGUGAUGAAGGCCUUCGGGUCGUAAAGCCCUGUCAGGUGGGAAGAAACUUGUGGAUGUCAAUACCAUCCACACUUGACGGUACCACCGGAGGAAGCACCGGCUAACUCCGUGCCAGCAGCCGCGGUAAUACGGAGGGUGCAAGCGUUGUUCGGAAUUACUGGGCGUAAAGCGCGUGUAGGCGGUUGGGCAAGUCAGAUGUGAAAGCCUUCUGCUUAACAGAAGAAGUGUAUUUGAAACUACCCAGCUAGAGUACGAGAGAGGAGAGUGGAAUUCCCGGUGUAGAGGUGAAAUUCGUAGAUAUCGGGAGGAACACCAGUGGCGAAGGCGGCUCUCUGGCUCGAUACUGACGCUGAGACGCGAAAGCGUGGGGAGCAAACAGGAUUAGAUACCCUAGUAC